rnacentral:lncRNA from 1 species
AUGCUGGAGCUCCAUUGCAGAAUGAAGGUGAUGACCUGCAGCAACACAGAUGAAGAUCUGGUCACUGAUUUGCAUCCCUGAGCAGAGAAGACUAUGGAGCUGGAAUCAUCUGCAAGCCUUGUGGCCAAGUGUGUCGACAAACAAAGAAAAAUCAUCAGAUGGUGAAUACUCACUCUGGGAUUUGUACCCCGCCCAUGCAGAGACUGAGCCCUGCCCUCUCCAGCCACAACGCAAGAGAUUUUGGUGUCAUACUUGUGGUGUCUCAGUGUCCUCCACUCGACUGCUGCUGUUUUGGCCCGAAAGCCCACCAGGGUCUCUGGCAAGUUUUCUGAACUGUCACAUUUCUGAGUGGAAGAUGCACAGACUCCUGGCCAGGGGAAUACAGGGGAAAAUCUUAUUUACAGAUAUUUCUUCCCCUGUCAGGCAUGUCACCUUUGGGAAUGGAAGCUACACUGUAGAAACAGCAAUAAACCUGUGA